CAUGCAAGCCGAACGAGAGAUGAGGAGCUUGCUCUUCAAAUCGAGUGGCGAACGGGUGAGUAACGCGUGAGGAACCUGCCUCAAAGAGGGGGACAACAGUUGGAAACGACUGCUAAUACCGCAUAAGCCCACGGCUCGGCAUCGAGCAGAGGGAAAAGGAGCAAUCCGCUUUGAGAUGGCCUCGCGUCCGAUUAGCUAGUUGGUGAGGUAACGGCCCACCAAGGCGACGAUCGGUAGCCGGACUGAGAGGUUGAACGGCCACAUUGGGACUGAGACACGGCCCAGACUCCUACGGGAGGCAGCAGUGGGGAAUAUUGCACAAUGGGGGAAACCCUGAUGCAGCGACGCCGCGUGGAGGAAGAAGGUCUUCGGAUUGUAAACUCCUGUUGUUGAGGAAGAUAAUGACGGUACUCAACAAGGAAGUGACGGCUAACUACGUGCCAGCAGCCGCGGUAAAACGUAGGUCACAAGCGUUGUCCGGAAUUACUGGGUGUAAAGGGAGCGCAGGCGGGAGAACAAGUUGGAAGUGAAAUCCAUGGGCUCAACCCAUGAACUGCUUUCAAAACUGUUUUUCUUGAGUAGUGCAGAGGUAGGCGGAAUUCCCGGUGUAGCGGUGGAAUGCGUAGAUAUCGGGAGGAACACCAGUGGCGAAGGCGGCCUACUGGGCACCAACUGACGCUGAGGCUCGAAAGUGUGGGUAGCAAACAGGAUUAGAUACCCUGGUAGUCCACACCGUAAACGAUGAUUACUAGGUGUUGGAGGAUUGACCCCUUCAG
rnacentral:rRNA from 1 species